AACGAACGCUGGCGGCAUGCCUAACACAUGCAAGUCGAACGAGACCUUCGGGUCUAGUGGCGCACGGGUGCGUAACGCGUGGGAACCUGCCCUUAGGUUCGGAAUAACUCCCCGAAAGGGGUGCUAAUACCGGAUAAUGUCUUCGGACCAAAGAUUUAUCGCCUUUGGAUGGGCCCGCGUUGGAUUAGCUAGUUGGUAGGGUAAAAGCCUACCAAGGCGACGAUCCAUAGCUGGUCUGAGAGGAUGAUCAGCCACACUGGGACUGAGACACGGCCCAGACUCCUACGGGAGGCAGCAGUGGGGAAUAUUGGACAAUGUGCGAAAGCCUGAUCCAGCAAUGCCGCGCGAGUGAUGAAGGCCUUAGGGUUGUAAAGCUCUUUUACCCGGGAUGAUAAUGACAGUACCGGGAGAAUAAGCUCCGGCUAACUCCGUG
rnacentral:rRNA from 1 species